GUGAACGCUGGCGGUAGGCCUAACACAUGCAAGUCGAACGGCAGCACAGUAAGAGCUUGCUCUUACGGGUGGCGAAUGGCGGACGGGUGAGGAAUACAUCGGAAUCUACUUUUUCGUGGGGGAUAACGUAGGGAAACUUACGCUAAUACCGCAUACGACCUACGGGUGAAAGCAGGGGAUCUUCGGACCUUGCGCGAUUGAAUGAGCCGAUGUCGGAUUAGCUAGUUGGCGGGGUAAAGGCCCACCAAGGCGACGAUCCGUAGCUGGUCUGAGAGGAUGAUCAGCCACACUGGAACUGAGACACGGUCCAGACUCCUACGGGAGGCAGCAGUGGGGAAUAUUGGACAAUGGGCGCAAGCCUGAUCCAGCCAUACCGCGUGGGUGAAGAAGGCCUUCGGGUUGUAAAGCCCUUUUGUUGGGAAAGAAAAGCAGCAGGUUAAUACCCCGCUGUUCUGACGGUACCCAAAGAAUAAGCACCGGCUAACUUCGUG
rnacentral:rRNA from 1 species